CGGGGGUCGGGGCCCCGCGCGGAGCCGGCUCUCGCGCUUUUCAGGUUGGCUGCUCUGGAGAAAAGGAGUUACAGACCAAGAAGAGUCAUAGACCUUGAGUGCAGGCUGCUCAAACUGGAGCUGCAGAUUCCUUCUGAAGAUCUUCAGCAUCAGAAUUACUGUUAACUGUUAAAACAAUGAAAUCACUUUUGAGAAAUAUGACACAAGGCAAGAAAAUACUCGUGUUUCUCAUGAAACAACCACCUUGAAAGUCAAAAAUCUGAUGGCAGCUAACUACCAUCAAUAUUCCUUUUUUAAUGAGGGAAGAAUAAAGAACUGUAAAUCUUUUAUCCCACAUAAUGCAAUAC